AUUGAACGCUGGCGGCAGGCCUAACACAUGCAAGUCGAACGAGUGGCGGACGGGUGAGUAAUGACUGGGCAACUGCCCGAUGGAGGGGGAUAACUACUGGCAACGGUAGCUAAUACCGCAUCCCAUCGGAUGUGCCCAGAUGGGAUUAGCUAGUAGGUGGGGUAAUGGUUCACCUAGGCGACGAUCCCUAGCUGGUCUGAGAGUAUGACCAGCCACACUGGAAAUUAGACACGGCCCGGACUCGUACGGUAGGCAGCAGUGGGGAAUAUUGCACAAUGGGCGCAAGCCUGAUGCAGCCAUGCCGCGUGUAUGAAGAAGUCCGUCGGGUUGUAAAGUACUUUCAGCGAGGAAGCGUUACUCGCAGAGGAAGCACCGGCUAACUCCGUGCGAGCAGCCGCGGUAAUAC
rnacentral:rRNA from 1 species